UACGUAGGGUGCAAGCGUUAAUCGGAAUUACUGGGCGUAAAGCGUGCGCAGGCGGUUUUUUAAGUCUGACGUUAAAGCCCCGGGCUUAACCUGGGAAUUGCGUUGGAGACUGCAAGGCUUGAAUCUGGCAGAGGGGGGUAGAAUUCCACGUGUAGCAGUGAAAUGCGUAGAGAUGUGGAGGAACACCGAUGGCGAAGGCAGCCCCCUGGGUCAAGAUUGACGCUCAUGCACGAAAGCGUGGGGAGCAAACAGG
rnacentral:rRNA from 1 species